rnacentral:rRNA from 1 species
CCCUUAGAUGUUCUGGGCCGCACGCGCGCUACACUGACGGAUUCAACGAGCUUACAACCUUGGCCGAAAGGUCUGGGUAAUCUCCAAAAUCCGUCGUGAUGGGGAUAGAUUAUUUCAAUUAUUAAUCUUCAACGAGGAAUGCCUAGUAAGCGCAAGUCAUCAGCUUGCGUUGAUUACGUCCCUGCCCUUUGUACACACCGCCCGUCGCUCCUACCGAUUGAAUGGUCCGGUGAAGCGUUUGGACUAUGGUUUUCUGAUGGUCCGCCGUUGGAUUACCGUGGGAAGUUCGUUAAACCUUAUCAUUUAGAGGAAGGAGAAGUCGUAACA